UUGCUUGGGCAGCAUACUUGCUAAAAUUGGAAUGAUACAAAGAUGAUUAGCAUGGCCCUUAUACAAGGGUGACAUGCAAAUUUGUGAAGUGACCCAUAUUUUU